rnacentral:rRNA from 1 species
GAAGACGGUCAAUGUAAACAGGAAACACCUCUUCCCGUCAGAUCAGAGAAGUUAAGCUGUUUGCGUUUUAUGUGGUACUUUCGAAAGAAGGGAAACAUAAAAGCUGUCUUCG